rnacentral:rRNA from 1 species
UGGAUCCAGACUUUGAUUCUGGCUCAGGAUGAACGCUAGCUACAGGCUUAACACAUGCAAGUCGAGGGGAAACGACAUCGAAAGCUUGCUUUUGAUGGGCGUCGACCGGCGCACGGGUGAGUAACGCGUAUCCAACCUGCCCACCACUUGGGGAUAACCUUGCGAAAGUAAGACUAAUACCCAAUGACGUCUCUAGAAGACAUCUGAAAGAGAUUAAAGAUUUAUCGGUGAUGGAUGGGGAUGCGUCUGAUUAGCUUGUUGGCGGGGUAACGGCCCACCAAGGCGACGAUCAGUAGGGGUUCUGAGAGGAAGGUCCCCCACAUUGGAACUGAGACACGGUCCAAACUCCUACGGGAGGCAGCAGUGAGGAAUAUUGGUCAAUGGGCGAGAGCCUGAACCAGCCAAGUAGCGUGCAGGAUGACGGCCCUAUGGGUUGUAAACUGCUUUUAUAAGGGAAUAAAGUGAGUCUCGUGAGACUUUUUGCAUGUACCUUAUGAAUAAGGACCGGCUAAUUCCGUGCCAGCAGCCGCGGUAAUACGGAAGGUCCGGGCGUUAUCCGGAUUUAUUGGGUUUAAAGGGAGCGUAGGCCGGAGAUUAAGCGUGUUGUGAAAUGUAGACGCUCAACGUCUGCACUGCAGCGCGAACUGGUUUCCUUGAGUACGCACAAAGUGGGCGGAAUUCGUGGUGUAGCGGUGAAAUGCUUAGAUAUCACGAAGAACUCCGAUUGCGAAGGCAGCUCACUGGAGCGCAACUGACGCUGAAGCUCGAAAGUGCGGGUAUCGAACAGGAUUAGAUACCCUGGUAGUCCGCACGGUAAACGAUGGAUGCCCGCUGUUGGUCUGAAUAGGUCAGCGGCCAAGCGAAAGCAUUAAGCAUCCCACCUGGGGAGUACGCCGGCAACGGUGCAACUCAAAUGAAUUGACGGA